UACGAAGGGGGCUAGCGUUGCUCGGAAUCACUGGGCGUAAAGCGCACGUAGGCGGACUCUUAAGUCGGUGGUGAAAUCCUGGAGCUCAACUCCAGAACUGCCUUUGAUACUGAAGAUCUUGAGUUCGGGAGAGGUGAGUGGAACUGCGAGUGUAGAGGUGAAAAUUCGUAGAUAUUCGCAAGAACACCAGUGGCGAAGGCGGCUCACUGGCCCGGUACUGACGCUGAGGUGCGAAAGCGUGGGAGCAACAGGGAUUAAG
rnacentral:rRNA from 1 species